GUCUAUAGCCAUACCACCCUGAAUGUGCCCGGUAUCAUCUGAUCUUGGAAGCUAAUCAGGGUCAGGUCUGGUUAGUACUUGGAUGGGAGAUUACAGACCCUAUGACU
rnacentral:rRNA from 1 species